AAAAACAUGUGUUGAUAUGUUAAAUUUUUGAAGCAAAAACCAGCAAAAAAAAGAGGAGGGAAGAUGAAGGAGAAGAGAAGCUCGCAUGUUGCUCCUCCAUUCCUUCUUUUUAUUUAUUUCAUUAUUUGGAUUAAUAAACAUUUAGUGAUAUAAUUAAUUACAUACUCUUCUGAUAUUACACAAAGAAAGUGAAGGCAGUAGGAUUUGUCUACAGAUGAAGAGAGGUGUCAAUAAGGUCUGAGUUGUCAAAACUUUUUGCAGAAGCACUUGCUGCGGCAGAAGCUGCUUUUGUGUUGUUGGGCCAUGAGUUUGUGGAAUAUGGCUGCAAAUUAAGCCCGAGAGAGAGCGAGUGUUCUGCAGGAGCACUUGGCCUAACCGGAACGAUGAUAUCGGAUUCGAAUGAGAACUUUGCAGGCUGAUGAUCAAAAUGCCUUGUUGUACAAACAACCCGUUGGUGUUCAGUCUCUGAUAACUUCUUCAGAAGCUGCUGCUCCUCCCUCCUCUCCUUCACUUUCUGCAGCUGCCUGAACCUUUCUUGCAGUAGAGCAAUGGAGGAAACUGAAACCAAGGUUGGAUCAGAAGCACUUUGCCUGCCCAUUGAAAAGCACCUUUUGAGCUUUUGAUCUCUGAAGCUUUGUAGGUGUAGGGUUUGGUGGUUUUUUUCUUUUUUUUUGGUUUUGGCUAUAAUUGGUGCUGAAG
rnacentral:lncRNA from 1 species